ACGCAUUCUCCAACGUUCAAAAUCCUUCCGUUGAUUCCACGGACGGCCGAUGUCAGUUAUGCGAGGGGGUGGAAAGCACUUUUGGCGGUAUCACAUGUUGCUUCGCUGUAAACAUGGACGAUCUGGAUUUGAUUCAAUUAUCCAAAGCGAGAGAAACGGUGUUUGAGUGAUGGCGCGAAAAUUACCGAUUUCGUUGCGCAUAUUGACAAAGUUAUGGCGAGGGAUCUGUAUGCGAAGCGGAAUCUAAGCAAAAAUACGAAGAAAGUGGAAAAUCGCUUAAAGUCACUGGUCGAAAACCAUCCACUAUGCAGAUGGACAGAUAAAUUUCGCGUCACUUGAUAGUACUAUCGUAUGACUACGAACUAUUGACACUAGCUGAAAGUGAAAUGUAACGGCUGAUGAAAAAAAAUUGAAAAAGAUAGAGAUACGUAAGUAUUAGCAUUAGGUUGGCAUAAAAGUUUCUUUCGUUUUGUGAGGAAAUAAUAAAUGUACAUUUUUUGUAUCAUAUUAUUGUAUUGAAUUAUGUAUGAUCUAUUUUGUAGUAAUAGAAUCCAUUUUAUUUUAUUCGUACAGAAUUCAUUAAUAAUAACAUUAUAUUUCCUUAUAAAACUAAAGAAACUUUUGGGACAACCUAACGCAUAUAAAUACCUUUUCACAGCUACUGUAUAAGAUUAUAAAAGAUACUGAUAUACAGGAUAUUGUUAGCUGUAGCUGCACAGCCACCACGCACUCAGCAUCGCAAAUAUCGAAAGCCCUGAAGAAAAUUUGAAGAAGAAAUGCUGUAAUUUUAUAAAACUGAAUUCUAAUCGACGAGACGAGUAAACGUGUGACAGAUAUCGUAGAAUAGAAAAAAAAGUGUGUAAUAGGCAAAAAAAGAAAUGUUUAAUAUAAAUUUUACUUAGAAUUCAUACACGUAAGUAGAUAUGACUUUUCUGCCAGUCACUCACUGUGCAUUAUCUGACAUAAUUUAUCUCUCGUACUUAUUCUUUCAUCCAGGCAAAGGAAGCUGUCGGAACAGAUUUAAUUCCCGUUCAUUAGAUUCGUCGCCUUACUGAAUACGAUAUUCUCGAGUUCGCGGUUCAAGGGAAAGCGAAGAAUUCUGGUGGGGUCGAGAGCAACGUUCAAGAUGAAAUCCUCGGCCCUUGUUAAAUCGUCUCGGUCGGGGUCGAACAAUGCGUUCGCCAGCAUCCUCGUUUCUCGGUGAUUGCACAUAAAGCUGCCAUUAUUAGAACUUCAGCGGGCGGAAAGCGCUGGUGCUUUUUCCAGUCUCGCGUUCGCGUUUACUCUUACGCACAAUUCGCCGCUGCACUCGCGUGCGUUUCCAGCCGCGUUCAUCCGUCCAUGUGGCUGCCAGUCGUAACGCGAAGCUCGUUCGUCGCGUUUACUCCACUUUUUUCAUCGAAAAAUUUUAUCCGGAAUAUCACGUUCGACUCGACGACCGAUUAAUUAUCGUAUUUUACUUUCACCGAUGGUGCAUCAUUUUCAUGGGAAACGUUUAAAUUUCCACGUGGUGCCACGUGGUGGAAAAAUUGGCCAUCGGUUGCUGCACGACGCUCCUUCGUCGCGUUUAUUCCACCUCUUCGGCGAAACGUUCCAUCCGGAACGUCGCGAUCGACACGAGAUCGAAAUUAAUUAUAUUCUACUUUCUCCGAUGGUGGAUCGUUGUUGCGCGAAAGAAAAUUAAAUUCCUACGGCACGUGGUGAAUAAAUUGGCCACCAGUUGCUGCACGACGCUCCUUCGUCGCGUCUACUCCACUUUUUCGUCGAAACCUUCUGUCCGGGGGUAUCGCGAUCGACCCGAGAUCCGAUCGAUCGUCUUAUCCUUCCGUCCUUUUCGCGAAAGUCGUUCGAAUUUCUGUGACGCGCGCGUGGAAAAUACUGGCGCGAAUCUUCGAGUUAGUGAGAAUCUUUGGCUCGAAUUUGAUGAUUCGUUCGCGUGGGAAUCGCACGGCGAGGCGUGCGAUUGUCGCGAUCGCUCUUAUCGCUCGCUGCACUUACGUUCCGCUUCGUUCUACCGACUACUAGUUUGCUGCAUUCCCGGUUACUUUACUGGUGGUGAAUCGUUAAUCGACGCGAGUUACCGUCGACGAGUUUGUUACGAUACGCAAGUACAGUGGAAAAAGGAGUUUAGCGAAACAGUUUCGUAAAGCUAAACGAUUGGACGAAUCGAAAGGAAUUGGAAGUCGUUCUAAGAAUUCUGUUCGAAGACAGCUUUGAGAAGGCGAACGGCGAUUGAAAAAAGAAGAAAUUGAAAGACGUCGAAGGAAAUCGAGAAACGUUCGAAUUCAACGAGGCAGUUUCGUACGCCUAGAGACGAUGAUCGAAGGAAAUUGAGAAAGAUUCGUCUGUAUUUUAAGAUUCUGUAUCAAUUUGGUAUAAAUAGGUCGAGCAAAUAUUCACGGUUAAUCUUUUCGAUAAAGCACUACCUACAAAACCA